UACGGAGGGUGCGAGCGUUAAUCGGAAUUACUGGGCGUAAAGCGCACGCAGGCGGUUUGUUAAGCUAGAUGUGAAAGCCCCGGGCUCAACCUGGGAUGGUCAUUUAGAACUGGCAGACUAGAGUCUUGGAGANGGGAGUGGAAUUCCAGGUGUAGCGGUGAAAUCCGUAGAUAUCUGGAGGAACAUCNGUGGCGAAGGCGACUCCCUGNCCAAAGACUGACGCUCANGUGCGAAAGUGUGGGUAGCGAANAGG
rnacentral:rRNA from 1 species